GGGAGGCUCGAAAGGAUAUCCAUCUACAAAAUGAAUCAAGCAUCAGAAAUGCGAGUUAACAGAAGAUCUUUUAUUUUUUAACCUCCUAUUCUGUAAAUAUAUCAGCCAAUAAAGCAAACAAUUAGCUAGAAGUAAUGAUAAUCUCUGGGAGGAAAAAAAAGUUGCCCAACAUUUGACCAAUUAUAUAGUCCUUUAUCCUGAAUUCUGACAACCAAACAAUUAGGCCAACUGCACGUGCAUUCAACAGUCAACAGAUUGCUAAAACCAUUAUCUGAUAUAGCCCAAAAUCUAAAUCCACUUGAAACCCUAAACCCACAUGAAAAAUUUAUCCAGUCUUUAAGAGCAAAAGUAGCAGAUAUACAUUUAAAACCAAACCCAUAAAAAACCAUCACAACAAAUAAAGAAAUGAAUUCAAUUUCUCAAGCAAGUUACUUUAUUUCAGAAUUUUCUUUUUCUUCUAAUGACAAAACAUAAAAAAAAAAAUUUAAAUGCAACUCAAUUAAGAGAAAACCCAACAAAAUUAGCAUAAAAGCAAAAACUAAAUGAACAGAGAAACAAAUUAAACCGAGGGACAUAAAACAGAAACUGUGAAGGAACGAUUGUGUGUGCAUAUACCCGGAAGUGAAAUGUCAAUUUGGA
rnacentral:misc_RNA from 1 species